rnacentral:rRNA from 1 species
CAGUCGCCGCGGGAAUACGAAGGGGGCUAGCGUUGUUCGGAAUUACUGGGCGUAAAGCGCACGUAGGCGGAUAUUUAAGUCAGGGGUGAAAUCCCGCAGCUCAACUGCGAAACUGCCUUUGAUACUGGGUAUCUUGAGUAUGGAAGAGGUUAGUGGAAUUGCGAGUGUAGAGGUGAAAUUCGUAGAUAUUCGCAGGAACACCAGUGGCGAAGGCGGCUAACUGAUCCAUAACUGACGCUGAGGUGCGAAAGCGUGGGGAGCGAACAGGAUUAGAUACCCGCGUAGUCCCUGUCUCUUAUAC